AGAAGGGAGAGGAGAGGAAUGACAGAUGAAGAGCGAGGAGAGUGAGUGUUGUUUGUGUACAACACUCACCUCUCAACAUUUCUCAAGGACCUUUAAGGCUUUAUAGAAGCAGAAUGUAGGAUGAGAGGGUUGAGCCAGCUGUAUGUGAAGUUGCGCUGUGAUGACGGCCCCAUUCUGGAGCAGAUAGAGCAGCUCCUGGUGGAACUGGGGGAUGAGACAGAGGGGGAGGAAGGGAAACAGACCCUGCCAUGGAUGAAGACUUUGAGCCCAGUAGUGACGAUGAGGAGGAGGAAGCCAUCGAACAUUCUCUCUACAAGUGAUCUAGUGGUAAAACAGUGGGUUAGUGCACGCUGAGAGACGUUUGUGGUGAAUAAAGUAAUGCUCCCUAUAUUUCCAAUGCAUUUUUCUGUGAUAGGUGGGGAAAUGCACGGGCAAAAUAAAGUGUGUAAAAGACAUUUAGACCGCAUACCCCUGUCUACUUUUAUAGUACACUAUUAACUCGGACAUUAAAUAAAGCUAAAGUUUAUAGAAAUGUAGUUUAUAAAGACCUCUUACCUAUCUCUGUACACCUCACAAACUAGACCAGAUGCAACACUUUGUUUGAAAGCAGCAGAGUUGCGACUGUUGAUGGGCCCUUGAGAGAGGAUGAAUGGGCCCUUGAGUUUUCUCUGAGUUUUGCUCUCUCUCUCUAGAUAUUGUCUGUAUUGUGUUCUCAGAAGUGCCUUUCUUCUGUUCAACCCUGAGUUUCCCAGAAUCAUAUGACCUCUCUCUCUGUCAUAUUAGUGCUGAAUUGUUUUCUGUAUUAGAAAAGAUUGGUUGACAUGUCGACUCAAGCUUUGUUUCCAUUGUCCUGGAAUGAACCAGAUAAAAAACAACUUCAAUGCUGUUUAUUUUCUGUAUUUUUCUCCUCUCAAUCUGAUACUUUUUGAGAUACAUGUUUUAAUAAUGAGGUGAAUGUUUGCUUCCCUUCAUGACCCAGGCUCACUUUAGAAAGAGAUUCCAUUCUGAAUGUGACCUGCUAAAAUAAAGAACUAAUACAGAACAGA